UCGUGCGUAGCUCUGCAGAGGGAUCGGAAGCCUUCGUGCUUAACAAAUCCUACUGUACUGGGUCAAGACACGCCCCAUAAGGUCUCCCAUAAGGUCUCGGGUCCUUCUGCCCACAAGGGCUUUCUGCCGCUGUGCCAUUAAUAAGCCGUGGUGGUCCUCUGUGAGGCUUAGGCCGUGCUUGAGUGUGAGGAGCUGGGGCACCUGUGAAGAAGCUGGUGUACCAUGGAAGGGGGCCGCUCAGGUUGGGUGCAGGACAAGAUCACUGCACAAGAGGUCAACGAGGCACAAAGAUCUUCCGGGAUUUUCUGCAUGUUUGUCAAAAUCAUGGAGAAGUGAAAUAGGAGUCGUGUUAGAGCAAGUGACAGUGAUUGCACUUGACCAAGGCAGAAGUUUCCAAAGCAUAUCCCUGGGGACCACCAACAUUCCCCCCGGCUAUCUCCUGCAGUGACAAUUUUACUGCUAUCCUGGAUUAAUUUCUAUAUCAAUCAAACAUGCUGCUAUUUCUUCCAUAUUAAAAAAUAUCCUGUUUGAUCUUCCAUCCCCACAGCUCCUGCUGCACCUUUCUGAUCCGAGUUAGAGACAACAGCAUCGGAGCCGCCCAUUCUGCCUCUCGAUGCGCUCUUGGGAGCCUACGUCUCUUGGACACCUGACGUGGCUUAAUUUGUAUUUUCUAUUAAGAUAUUAUUCUUACAUUGUCUCUUAUUUCUUUAAACGUAGAAGCUGCCCUAGCUCUCUGUACCUACUUGAAGUCGCUGAUUCAAAGUGUUUGGUCUGGCCUCUGGAAGAAAACUGUUCUUGCUCUGAAAACAAUAAAAAACAAAACAAAACCAUCCACCACCAGCAUUUCCAGUGAUGUCUUCCAGGAAGCCACCAGACGGUCGGAUCAGUACCGUUCCCUGGGAAUGGGACUUUGAAGAGGCUCCGCCUCCAUUCUGCCCUUCCUGCUGACUUCCAGCCGGCCACUCCUCCAAGCCUCUGGGAAGCUGGGAAGCAGGAAUAGGAACGGGCAGAUUAAAGCCCCCUGUGAUUUGCUAUUCCUACUGACACUUGGCGGGUCUGUUUGCAUAAAAGCUCUCUAGAUGGAGACAAGCUGUUGGUUGAUCUCCAGUUUUCUUAGAAAGUUGAUUCUGGAAAUUUUGUUAGUUUUUCCAUGACUUUCAUGAGGCAGAGAGUUUUCAGAGGCCAUUACUUCGCAAUUCCCACUGACCUUGAACUCGUUUCUGGCAGGAUGUCAUCUCCACCUCUCUGCAAAAGCUACUCCUGACAAGGUCUUCAGUGACUUUCCCUUUUUCUUAAUCCCAAAUGGAUUGAAGAGAGUGUUUUUGAGAAGGCAUCAGGAAUGAAGUGUUGGGGAUUAAAUCAGAGCAGGCCAAGUCCCUUACCUUUGUGAGAACGUCACAAUAUCCUGGUAUUUUAGGUA